rnacentral:rRNA from 1 species
UGCAACAUACAGAAGAGGCAAGUCGUAACAGAUGUCAACGGCCGCGGUAUCCUAACCGUGCGAAGGUAGCGUAAUCACUUGUUCUCUAAAUCAGGACUAGUAUGAACGGCACCACGAGGGUUACACUGUCUCCUUUUUCCAAUUAGUGAACUUAAUUUUCCCGUGAAGAAGCGGGAAUAAAUCUAUAAGACGAGAAGACCCUAUGGAGCUUUAAACAAUCCAGCAUUUGCAAUCUUUCAUGAACUCUCUAGACCCUGCAUAAUGACUAGAAGUUUUAGGUUGGGGCGACCGCGGAGUAAAACCCACCCUCCAUUAUGUAGGAAUUGAUUCUUAACUAAGAAACACUCUAAGUAUUAACAUACUAACAUUUAUUGACCCAAUACAAUUGAUUAACGAACCAAGUUACCCUAGGGAUAACAGCGCAAUCCAUUUCAAGAGCCCCUAUCGCCAAAUGGGUUUACGACCUCGAUGUUGGAUCAGGAUAUCCCAGUGGUGUAGCCGCUAUCCUUUGUGAUAAUUUUUAUGGUUAUACCUAUUCUGAUUGGGGAUUCGGAA